CUUUUGUGGUGGCAGCGAAGCAGGGCACGUCUCAAAAUCUGACAGGGCGAUUUCUUGACCUCUAACCUAACUGGUAUCAAUUGUAUGACGCAACAAUAGACAACAUGGUUAAAUAAAACAUUUCCUGUUGUAAGAUCAUGGAUGGAUGAUCAUGUAGUUCAACGUAUCUGCCAUAUUGAGGAUGUCCAUGAAUGGAAAUUUUAAUCACGUGAUAUUUCCACGAAAAGGAAAAACACCUUUAGAUGGAGUAAUUUUAGAAAGUACUAAAUUUGAACUAAGGAAAGUGGCGGCAGAUGCGCAACUCACGCCCCUCGCCAGUUCAAGUUACAGAACCGCCCAGGAUAAGAGGCACUCAGCCUCUAGCUAAUGGCCCGUUCAAAUGCCAAUACAAAAACCAAGCGCAUAAAUGGAAACGUCUUUGAAAUCUUUGUAUAAUGAAGAGAGA